GUCUUGUCUCGCUACGAAAACCCCCUACACAGCGGAGCGGCGGGGAGCGGUUCCGCCGGAGUCGGGACGGGACCGGAGAUACCGGAAACCGGGGUAAAAACUACCUCCCCUUCCAUAACAAAGUGUUAAAACCAUGCCAAGCCGAGACAGCGCGAACUGCAACAAACGGCAGAGCCCUGCACGGUCUGCCGUGAGCAGAGAGGGAAACAGCAGCCCCCAACCGGCGCUGACAAGAGACCCCCUGUGGGGGGGCAAUUCUGUCGUCUGCGGUGGAAAACAAGUAACAAAAACCGGGGCCGAGAGGACAGCUCACACCCUUUGUGCAGAGACAGAGCGAAGCUGAGCUGCAAAUAGCUCAGACUCUACAGGAGGUGCCACUUAUAGCCAGCUGUUACCAGAUGUGGUGCGUGUCGUCGGGCUAAUAUCUUGCGUCAUCGUUGCAGGGGAAUCAUUUGGUAUGGGCUCUUGUGUAUGAUCAUCACACUUCUUGAGAUUGCAGUACUCCCAUAAGGUGUUGGGGUCAGUGGUGAAACACCACGGGCUGUUGUCACCAUCUGGAUUUCUACAAUAGUUGUCCCUCAAAUCCCUGCAAAAAUAUAGUCAAUGGUCAUGCUGUGUAAGACUGGAAGUAAGCAUAGAAAUAACCUGAUAAAAAGUACUAUACUAUACUAUACUAUACUGGAACUGUACUAUAAGGAUAAAAACAUUUAUUAUUGUUUUCACUUAUUGCAGAUAUCCUAUUAAUAGCAAACACAUUUAUGGCUGUGAUGCUGGUGAAGAGUUAUAUUUCACAUGUACGUCAGAGUCAUGAAUACAUUUAUGCAUAAGGAAACAUAAUUCAAUUACUGGCUGAUAUUCUGGAUGUACCAUGUCAAUAUGCUGAGUACCUAAAUAAAUGCCUGACAUGCCAAUAAUUUAGUUUCUAAAUAUAUAUGUAUAAGCACACGCAGUUAUGUGAAUGUGUGAAUUAG